AUUGAUUCCAAGGAAUGGUCAACCAGGUAUUAAAACUAAUGUACAUUGUGAAAUAUACCAUAAUCUACCAUGUGCAUGAGUUUCAUUAACACUGAGAUAGCAGAGCCCCAAAACAUUGGGUGGCCUUAAUACUUUGGGCCAAGGCUGUGUAUAUAUACA